CUAAGAAUGCAGGCGCAAGGGUCUGGGGUAACAGUUCUCAAGUGUCUGGUUGCAUUAGAAUCAGUGAUGGCUUUUGGUUUGGUUUCGGUGCUGAGGGUGGGACCCCAGGGCCUUACAUAUGACGGGUAAGCUCCCUACAUCAAGCUGCACCUCCACCUUUUUUUGUACUCUAUUUUGAGACAGGGAGUCUCUCCGUUUUCCCUGGAAUGUGUGACCCUCCUGCCUCGACUUCCGGAGUACCUAGAAUUACAGACCUGCGCCAGCAGGACUGGGUGUGAGGGCUUAUAAACAAAGAGCAGCCUUGCUGUUCCUCACGCCUCACCCCUGCCUAAAUCAGGCGGGCUGGAGUGAGUCCCCAGAUUUGCAUUUUUAACAAGUUCCAGCUGCUGCUGCUGCUGCCGCCGCCGCCGCCCUGGGACCUCCCUCUCAGUACAAGUGGCCCUGAAGAACAAAGACAAGCUUUGUGGACUCUGGUCACAGAGGUCAGAGACCCCACACAGAGCAGAGCCCAAGAAUCUGGGUCUGAGUAAGCCAGGCUGGCGAUUUGCUGCUGUUUCUAUAUACCAAUUGUUGGGAUUACAGGCAGGAAUUAUUAUCCGCAUUCGGUUAUCAGUGAAAGCUGAGACCGUGACAUUAAGCGAUGUGCUCCUGGCUCCGCCCGCCGCCAGUCUCAAGCCUGGACACUCUCCUCCAUGCACACUGCAGCCUUCUGCGUGCGGGGCC